CAGCCGCCGCGGUAAUACCGGCGGCCCGAGUGGCGGUCACUAUUAUUGGGCUUAAAGCGGCCGUAGCCGGGUUGGGAAGGCCUCCGGGAAAUCUGGCCGCUUAACGGUCAGAAUGCCGGAGGAUACUCCCAGCCUAGGGAGCGGGAGAGGCCGAGGGGAUUCCCGGAGGAGGGGGGAAAUCCUAUAAUCCCGGGAGGACCACCUGUGGCGAAGGCGCUCGGCUGGAACGCGUCCGACGGUGAGGGACGAAGGCCAGGGGAGCAAACCGGAUUAGAUACCCGGGUAGUCCUGGCUGUAAACGAUGCGGACUUUGUGUCGGACAAGCUAUGAGCUUGUCCGGUGCCGGAGGGAAACCGUUAAGUCCGCCGCCUGGGGAGUACGGCCGCAAGGCUGAAACUUAAAGGAAUUGGCGGG
rnacentral:rRNA from 1 species